UUUAAGUGCAGUUAUGGGUUUUCGUGUCCAACGUUUGACUCUCUGUCUUAUUUAAAUUUUUUUAUGAUAAAUGUUAUUAUUAUUAUUAUUAUUAGAUGAUAUAACAUGGAUAGUACUUUAUACGUAACUUAUUUUCUAAUUUCUUUUAUAAAAAUUUUAAAUAAAACAAAUGGUUAAACGUUAGAUAGAAAACUCACUGCUGCACUUAAA
rfam:Oryza meridionalis cultivar OR44 (W2112) chromosome 8, whole genome shotgun sequence.